rnacentral:rRNA from 1 species
AUUGAACGCUGGCGGCAGGCCUAACACAUGCAAGUCGAACGAGUGGCGGACGGGUGAGUAAUGUCUGGGAAACUGCCUGAUGGAGGGGGAUACCUACUGGAAACGGUAGCUAAUACCGCAUACCAUCAGAUGUGCCCAGAGGGGCUUGGCUUGUUGUGGGGGUAACGGCUCACCAAGGCGACUAUCCCUAGCUGGUCUGAGAGGAUGACCAUCCACACUGGAACUGAGACACGGUCCAGAUGCCUACGGGGGGCAGCAGUGGGGAUUAUUGCACAAUGGGCGCAAGCCUGAUGCAGCCAUGCCGCGUGUAUGAAGAAGGCCUUCGGGUUGUAAACUACUUUCAGCGGGGAGGCGUUACCCGCAGAAGAAGCACCGGCUAACUCCGUGCCAGCAGCCGCGGUAAUUC